rnacentral:rRNA from 1 species
GGGCGCAAGCCUGAUGCAGCCUGCCGCGUGUAUGAAGAAGGCCUUCGGGUUGUAAAGUACUUUCAGCAGUGAGGAAGGUGGGUAUGUUAAUAGCAUACUCAUUUGACGUUAGCUGCAGAAGAAGCACCGGCUAACUCCGUGCCAGCAGCCGCGGUAAUACGGAGGGUGCGAGCGUUAAUCGGAAUUACUGGGCGUAAAGCGCAUGCAGGUGGAUGAUUAAGUCAGAUGUGAAAGCCCGGGGCUCAACCUCGGAAUAGCAUUUGAAACUGGUCAUCUAGAGUACUGUAGAGGGGGGUAGAAUUUCAGGUGUAGCGGUGAAAUGCGUAGAGAUCUGAAGGAAUACCGGUGGCGAAGGCGGCCCCCUGGACAGAUACUGACACUCAGAUGCGAAAGCGUGGGGAGCAAACAGGAUUAGAUACCCUGGUAGUCCACGCCGUAAACGAUGUCUACUUGGAGGUUGUGGCCUUGAGCCGUGGCUUUCGGAGCUAACGCGUUAAGUAGACCGCCUGGGGAGUACGGUCGCAAGAUUAAAACUCAAAUGAAUUGACGGGGGCCCGCACAAGCGGUGGAGCAUGUGGUUUAAUUCGAUGCAACGCGAAGAACCUUACCUACUCUUGACAUCCAGAGAACUUUCCAGAGAGGAUUGGUGC